ACGUAGGUCACAAGCGUUGUCCGGAAUUACUGGGUGUAAAGGGAGCGCAGGCGGGAGAACAAGUUGGAAGUGAAAUCCAUGGGCUCAACUCAUGAACUGCUUUCAAAACUGUUUUUCUUGAGUAGUGCAGAGGUAGGCGGAAUUCCCGGUGUAGCGGUGGAAUGCGUAGAUAUCGGGAGGAACACCAGUGGCGAAGGCGGCCUACUGGGCACCAACUGACGCUGAGGCUCGAAAGUGUGGGUAGCAAACAG
rnacentral:rRNA from 1 species